UGGGAAAAAAACAUGAGUGGGAAAGAAGAAAAUGGAUGAAAAGGACCAAUAGACAAAUGGGAAAAGGAAAAAUGGAAGGGAAAAGACGACAAAGAAGAAAAUAAACUGCAAGAAGAAAAAAAAGGCAGAAAACAUGAAUAAGUAAGAGGAAUACGGACAAAAAAGCAAAGGGAUGUACUAACGCAGCCUCUAUACGGAAGCUUGCAAUCUCAGACGCUCUCACAGCAACUUUUUCCCAAGGCCGCAAAGGAGAGGAGUCGUGUUCUCAUUGAGGGGUUUUGACGUUCAUGGUAUUCAGAAGCCUUGUCCAACUAUCAAAAGGCUCAUAAAACUAUACUCAUCAUGGAAAUAAUAACAGAACCUCUACGGAAACCUUAUCAAAUUUGGGUGUGUAUUGUGUAAGCCUUGAAAAGUGCGGAGGCCUUGUCCAAAUUAUACUAGGCUAAUCAAACUACCCUUCAUGGAAAUACUAACGGAACCUCUACGGAAUUCUUAUCAAAUGUGGGUGUGUAAGCCUUGGGAUGUGUGGAAGCCUUGUCCAACUUACACUAGGCUCAUAAAACUACUCAUCAUGUAAAUACUAACGCAACCUCUACGGAAUUCUUAUCAAAUGUGGGUGUGUAAGCCUUGGAAUGUGUGGAAGCCUUGUCCAACUUACACUAGGCUCAUAAAACUACUCAUCAUGUAAAUACUAACGCAACCUCUACGGAAGCCUUAUCAAAUGUGGGUGUGUGAGCCUUGAAAUGUUUGAGAGUAUGUCCCUGGCCUCACCUCCGCCGCCACCACUAUCCACUAAAUUCCAGUCUCAUCUAUUUCUCUUUCUCUUCCUGCUGCCUCUGCGCCUCCCUGCUUUGCUCCGCCAUGCACCGUUCAUCAUUAUCCCUCUCCACCUCCCUCCUCCCUCUCCUCUCCACCCCCUCCCUCCAUCUCUUAACUCUCUCCUCCUCCUCCUGUCUCUGUCCCGCCAAAACCUGUACGUUCUAAGCUUCAUGAUUCCAGGAAUUUAUUACAUCCAUUCUGUUCUCCCUUUCACUCUUAUGUUUUUUUCUAUCUUUCUUUUUCUUUAUACUUCAUGCUGUUUGUGUCUUCCUGUUCGUUUUUUUCCUUCCAUUGUCUCUUUUGCUCUUUUCAUGUUUUUUUUCUUUCCUUUCCUCUCGUUUCUUUUUUUUUUACUUUUCUUUUUCUGUCUUCAUGCUGUUUGUUUGCUUCUGCCUCUUCGUUUUUUCUUUCCACUGUCUCUGUUUCUCUUUUUUCUUCCGUUUCUCCUUUUCUACGCAUGUUUUUUCUGCCUUUCUUAUUCAUGUUUUCUCUCUGUCUUUUUCUUCUUGCAGUUUAUUUUCUUCUUCUUCGUCUUUUUCCUUCCAUUUUCUCUUGGUCCUUUUCAUCCAUCUUCUUAUUUCCCACUCAUGUUUUUCCUAAUUUUUCUACUUCAUUCCUUUUAUUUUCUUCUUCCUCUUUUCUCUUUCCUGACAUCUUUUCCUCCGCACCUGUCUCUCCGUCCUUCCCCUCUAUUAAUUCUCCGUUUUAUUCUCUCUUCGCCUUUCUCUUUCUUUUCCUCCUCUUACCCUUUUUUCUUUCACCGUCUCCUCUUCUCCCUUUGUGGAAAAUUUCAGAAGUGCACCUGUCUCACUCCUGUGGACGAAAAUGCGUUUUUUUUUUUUAUGACAUUUUGACGUUCCGUUAAUUAGUCAGAUAUCCGUUUCCUUCUAAAAUCGUUCUCUGUCUAACUAUCUAUCCAUUCAGCUAUCUAUCUAUCUUUGUCUCUUUUAUUUGUCUGUGUAUAUCUAUCAAACUAUAUCCAUUUAUCCAUCUCUCUAACUGUCCAUCUAUCUGUCUAUCUGUGUAUCUAUAUCUAUCUAUCUAUCUCUAUUUGUAUGUGUAAAUCAGUCAAUGUAUAUCUAUUAUUAUUAAUCUAUAUCCAUCUAUUCAUCAAUCUAUCUACCUGUGUCUAUCUGUCUAUAUCUAUCUAUCUAUUUGUCUGUCCAUUUAUAUAUGAAAUUUCGUUGUGUGAGGUGUCUGCGGAAUCUAACUAACCUAACCUAACGUAUCCUGCCCUGUUCAUGAAUGGGCGCCACAUAGCAGUAGAGUGAAUAUAUCAGUCUAUUCACAUUUGUACUCGGCCGCCCCUCACCUACCCACCGACCUCAUAACCCAACCCGAACCGCUCCAGUAACCGCAUCCAACCCCACCGAAUACAACAACUCGACUCCGAAAAACAGUAACCUAACCCCCACAGGCAAAGUGAUCUAACUCCAUCAACUUUAGGAAUCCAACCCCACUCGUAACCAGAUUCAACUCUUUUAUUAAUAGCUUUUUUUUUUUUUCAUUGUUUUCUGCCUUCUUCCUCCUUCUCCUCCAUCUACUAGUAUUUAUCAUCCUCGUCUUCUUCGUUCUUCUAUUUCUUGUUCUGUUCGUCCUUCUAUUCCUCGUUCUCCUUCUCCUUCUUCUCCUUGUUAUUCUUCUCCUCCUCUUCCUCGUCCUCAUCCUCGUUUUCCUCUUCUUUUUCCCUCCUUCCUGUCUUCCUCCUCCUCCUCCUCCUCCUCCUUCUCUUCCCUCCUUCCUGUCUUCCUUCUCCUCCUACUCGCCCUCCUGCUCAUCCUCUUCCUUCUCCUUAUGUUCUCCUCUUCUUCCUGUCUCUCUUCUCACCUCUCCUUCCUUUUUCCUUUCCCUUACUUUACUUCCUUUUUCCUGUUAUUUUCGUCCGUUCCAUCGUUUCUAUUAUUAUUUUCUAUAUCCUUCCUUUUUUUCCUCUUCCCUUUCCUUUUUUUCCUAUCUAAUUUUUCCCUUCUUUUUCAGUCUUUUCAUUUUCCCUCGUUUUUCCUUUCCUUUCGUUUUCCUUCUUUUUUUCUUCCCUAUCUUUCCUUUCUUCCUUAAACUUCACUUUCUUAUUUCCAUUUUCCCUUCCAUUUCCUCUCCUCUUUCCUUCACUCUUUUCCCUGCCCUUCCUUUCUCGUACUCUCCUUUCAUUUCUGUUAUUCUGUUCUCUCCUUCAGUGACAUUCUUUCCCGUUCUCUUCCUCCUAUCAUCCAUUCGUUCACUAUGCUCUUUAAUCCAUUUCUCCACUGCCAACAUCUCCUUUCCCUCCCCUCCCUCUCCCCCCUCUUUCAUCCUCUCCUCUGUAAUGUAAUAUAAUGCAUUUGAUCCCCGUGACCCAUUCCUUCGCCCCCUCUCCUUCCCUCCUUCCAUCCUCCUCCUGUUCCCUCCUAACCAUCCUCCUUAUCUCCCCUCUCUCCCCUCUCAACCCGUCCAAUCUUGAAGGUAUCUCAUUGACCUAUCCGCAUUGCUCUCCCUCUCUCCCCUCUUCUUCUCCCUCCCUACUCUACUCUCCCUUCCCCUUCACCGUUUUAUCUUGUCUACUCAUACCACUUCCUCCUGCUUAAUCUUUUCUCCUGUGCCUUCCUCUUCUCCCAAGCUUUUCCUACCUGAUUCAUUUUCCGGCUAUUCCUUCUUGGGGUCACCAUCAGCAGGGACCUGAAACAUAAAGAAAGUACUGUAAGAAAGAUUAUUAAAGUCUAUACGUACUAUGCUCGGGUUCAUAGCGAGGAACUUCGAGUGUAAGACUUCUUUAUUUUUUAUUUUUUUAUUUUUUUUUACGUGCCUGCCAAUAGCGCCGGUAAGCUUUAUUGAGGGGACUGGAUGGUAGUCGGCCCCAGCCCGUCAUGGCGUAGGCAAGUGUUUUAUAGUGGCGCCAUCUUUUUUUAAUCUUAAUACCAUCAAUAUGUAACUCGAUGGUAAGACCUCACCUCGAAUAUGCAGUGCAGUUUUGGUCCCCUAAUUACAAGAAGAACAUUGAGUUAUUUGAGGGUUCAGUGAAACCCUACGAAAAUGAUACCGCCCUUAAGGACUCAACCGUAUAAAAAACGACUCAAACGACUUAAUCUCUUUACGCUGGGAAAGAGACGCUUACGUGGAGGUACAAUUUAGGUUUUCAAGUACCCAAAGAAGUUCAGAAACGUCUUCCACUCCAAGUUCUUUGAGCUCCAAACUAACUCAAGAAAUAGAAAUAAUGGUCUACUUAUCAAGCAAGGCGGUGUAGUACAGACACUGGUAGGAGUUUCUUUUCAAACCGAGUCAUCCGCCACUGAAACAACCUUUCCUGCAGAAAAAAAGCGAAAACCAUCAGCUGUUUUAAAAAUGGCAUCAACUGUUACUUAGUUGCGUCAGGAGUAAGCUAGGCGUGCGUAUCAAGGUGCUUGCAUCUGCUCGGUAGGCCCUGAAGUGUCUGUCGAGUAGAUUUAAACCACCAGAGCGGGCAGCUUCGAAAUGAGCCAAAAGGUUUUCUGUUGCCUGCCUUUCUAUGUUUCCAUGGCUCCUUUUCUCUCCUUCCUUAUCACUUGUACGAUUAUCUUGUCUCUCCAAUUCCUCUUCUCCCGUGAUAAGAUUCAUGAUACAUCCCACCUUCCCCUUACCCCCUUCCCCUCUCCACCUUCUUUUACCUCUCCACCUCUCCCCGUCCCCUCGCGUCCCUGUGAGACAAGACGGCCACACACACCUUACGGCCCAAAUAUUCCCCAUUCCUGUUCUACUCCGCCUCCUCAGCCCACUCCCUUGUCUUCCCUUCUCCCUCUCUCCUGUCCCCCUAACACAGACUUGUAGGAGGACCUUGCAUACACGUCUCACAAUAUUCGUUCCUCCUCUUCCUUCUCCCCUCCUCUUUUUUUUUUACUUCCUUUCUCCUUCCAUUAUCCUUCCUCUCUCUCAUCUUAUAUUUCCUUGCUUUCCUUUUUCUUCUCUUUCCUUCCCCAUUUAUUUUUACUUCACUUCUCCUUCCAUUAUCCUUCCUCUCUCUCAUUUUGUUUUUCCUUGCCUCCCUUUUUCUUCCCUUUAAUUCCCUUCCAUCACCCUUUUCUUCCCCUACCUUUCCCUUUCCAUCCCUUCCUCAUUUCCCUUUUCCUUUCCUUCUCCAUCCUUUCCAUUCCCAUCUCCUCCCUUCCCCAUUCAUUCUACCCCCCCUCUCCUUGAAGAAGCACCCACCGGCUACACACACACACACACACACACACACACACACUGAGAGCCUUCGCCGUUUCAAUAUCCCGUGACAGCCUCUCGCCGUAAAUCAGCUGGUGGCCGCCUGUUGCUCGUCUCGGCCCCAAAUCCGCGCUCGUGGUUGUCGUCGUCGUCCGUGCAGAUCGACGUGAGCACCACCGAGCUGUCCGACAUCCCGGAGCCCUCCAUCGACCCCUCCACGCCGCGAAGAGUGAGGGCGUUCGCGGGCACCACCGUCCUCAUGCCCUGCG